AAAAUAGAAUUGACUUGGCUUCGAACUGAGUAAUGGCUAGGCCCUAUUUUA
rnacentral:tRNA from 1 species